AGAGUACUUUGAGUUUGAAUUAUUCAGCUCAGCUGUUGACCAAACUCAACCGGAUAAUUAUACAAGUCUUCCUUUGUCUAGUCCUAUAUUGGCCUAAGUUUUAGGUUUGGGACAUAAAAUGUUGGUACUGGGAAAGAUACUAAACAGUCGAGCCCACCUCAUUAUUUUACAGCAGGCUGCCUGCAGCUUUUCUGGCUCUUCUGAGGAAAAACCUUCAAAGCUAAGAAUGGUUUGCUAGUGUGCCGACAGCUGGUGUUUAACGCCAUCAAUCAAAUGGGUUUCGACACCACCGCUGAUGGCUUGUCCCCCAACCACCACCCUGCAGCCUCUUCCACUGGGUUCUUCUGAGGAAAAGUUUAGAUUUGUGAAAAUCACUCAUAAUUAUUUAACUGGGUCAGCAGCUGAGCUCGUUGCAAAACAUGCGUCUGGAUAGGAAACGUGGGUAUAAACUGCCAGACUUUAAAGAAUUUUUAAAAACAAUGUAUAUGGUAAAUGUGGAAGAGUAGGAUUAUUCCCUUUGAAAGCUGCAGUGCCAGCCAGAUCCUUCUCCAGAUCCCGUUCCUGCUCUGCUCUCAGAUGACGCAAUUCCUCUCUCCACUGGAGUGCAUUAUGUUCUCCUUAAAGACUCCAGCUAAUGGAAUGCUGAGAAAAUCAAUCCCUUCUUAUUAUGCAGGCCUGCUAUUUGGUAAAUGGAAAGCAAAUUCUUUCUUCUUCUAAGUAGGCAGAAAUAAGCCCUGGGGGACACCUUGAUUUUAUCCUCCACAUGUCCUAAAUGAGAGUCCAACACACUAUAUCUGUGCGUAAGAUGUAUUUAAUUCAAAAAGACCAGGUCUGGAGUUCCUGUCUUGAUGCAACAGAAACGAAUCCAACUACGAACCAUGAGGUUGCGGGUUCGAUCCCUGGCCUCUCUCAGUGGGUUAAGGAUCCCACAUUGCUGGGAACUGUAGUGUAGGUUGCAGAUGUAGCUCUAAUCUGGCGUUGUUGUGGCUGUAGUGUAGGCCGGCAACAACAGCUCCAAAGAGACCCCUAGCCUGGGAACUUCCAUGUGCCAUGGGUGCAGCCCUAAAAAGACAAAAAAAAAAAAAAAGCCCAGGUCCAUAUCCACUCACAACUCAAUGGAGAGACAACUCUCUUGCUCUCUCCCACUCUCCCCUCCCCUUUCUUCUCUGAAGAGGACACAUAUCAUGUAGUGCUUUUCUAAGAGAUAUAUUGCCAUCUAACAUCCACAACAAUACCUACCACUUAUUAGGCAUUUAUUAGGUGCCAGCUAUCAUUUUUUUCACAACUUCAUAAGGUAGGCUGUAUUUUUAUCCCUAUUCUACUGUUGAGCAAACUAGGUGAGAUCAGUGGACCAAGGUCACUGUGGAGCAGAGUGUGGUUUUAAACCCAGCUCUCUUUGACUCUACACCUAGGGCCACAAAACACUGUUCCAUGCUGGAGGUCAAGUCUCAGGACAGAACCAAGUGAAAGCUGUGGCCCAUUCAGGCUUACCAUAAAAAUAAUUGCCAAGAGUAAGAAUGAUAAAAUGCAUAUCAUAAUCAUGUCAAUAAAUAGAUAAGCCCCUGGCAUUGAAAGUAUUCCAAGAGAAAUGGGAAGAACACUUCCUAAGGUAGGCUUCCCAGGACAGCUGGCUUCUUGUUCAGGGAAGAAUAACUGAUCAAAUCUGCUGCUUCCCAGAGCUGGUUGUUCACCAGGGAAACAGAUAACAUAUUUUUGGUCAGAAAGCAUAUUUGGGGAGUUCCCAUUAUGGCUCAGUGGUAGCGAACCUGACUAGUAUCUAUAAGGCCUAGCUCAGUAAGUUAAGGAUCUGAUGUUACCAUGAGCUGUGGUGCAGGUGGCAGAGGAGGCUAGGAUCCCAGGUUGCUGUGGCUGUGGUGUAGGCCAGCAGCUAUAGCUCCAAUACAGUCCCUAGCCUGGGAACCUCCAUAUGCCUGGAACGCAGCCCUAAGAAGCCAAAAAUAAAUAAAUAAAUAAAUAAAUAACAUUUCAGAAAAGUCACUUUGAGCCUGAGCUAAUGAUGAUUCUUUUCUUUUUUCAUAUUAUUAUUGUUUUUAAUAGCAACAUCAAAAUUAGAGCACUAAAUGCACAGCAAAGUUGAUAUAGGUGCUGCAUUUACAAUGUUUUCCAAGUAUUUCCAAAUAGAUUUGAAAUACAGAAACAACUUUUAAAAAUCUGGAAUAAAAGUUCAGCUGUAUAGAAAUCACAUACCCCCACCCCACUCCAAUAUAUCAUGUCAUUUCUAUUUAUUGACAUGAUUAUGAUAUGCAUUUUUUAAAAAGCACAACAAUUGGAGUUCCUGUUGUAGCUCAGCGGGUUAAGAGCCCAAUACAGUGUCCAGGAGGAUUUGGGGUUGAUCUCUGGCCUCAAUCAGUGGGUUAAGGAUUGGUCAUUGCCACAAGCUAUGGCAUAGGUCACAGGUGUGUCUGGGAUCCAGUGUUGCUGUAGCUGUGGCAUAGGCCAGCAGCUGCAGCUCCAAUUCUACCCCUAGCCUGGGAACUUGUUAAUGCUGCAGGUGCAGCCCUAAAAAGAAAACAAACAAACAAACAAUAUACUAUAAACUAUAAUAGUUUGCACCUUGGUUUGAAAUCUGUUAUCUUUACCAGUAUAGUCUGGGUCCAAGUCCUGAGACAGCUUCUCUCUCAACUCCACUGCCUGUACACCAUCCUGUCUGCACCCCAUCUCCCCAGGAGACAUAGUGGCUUCUCCUUCUCUCCCUGCUACCAGGUUCCUACAUCUCGCCAUCCCUCCUCAAUUCAGGGAUGUUCAUUGCUCCUCCUCCAGGACCUACCUCCAAGCUCAAGUCCCUUGUUAGUCUGUAAUAGACCCAUCUCUCAUGAUCUCAUCCUCCUCAGAAUUCCUCUGCCCUUAAUGAUCUGCCAUUUGGCAAUAUCUAGGGAGAAGGUAAUAGGUAAGAAAACAAUGCAAAUUUUAGAAAGGCAAACAGAUGGGAUUCAAAUCCCAGCUGAGUCACUUUCCAGUAUGUGAUCUCAGACUCAUCCACUCUGGGCCUAGUUUCUUCAUAUUAAAAUUUUUUUAAAAAAUGUUCAGUAUACCUCAUAAAUCACUGUAAGCAUCCUAAGUUAAUGUUUACAGAAUGACCAUCAUUAAGAAAAAUCUAUAGGGAGUUCCCGUCGUGCUCAGUAGUUAACGAACCCAACUAGUAUCCAUGAGGAUGUGGGUUUGAUCCCUGGCCUUGCUCAGUGGGUUAAGGAUCCAGUGUUGCCAUGCGCUGUGGUGUUGGUUGCAGACACGGCUCAGAUCCCACGUUGCUAUGGCUGUGGCAUAGGCCAGUGGCUACAGCUCCGAUUCAACCCCUAGCCUGGGAACUUCCAUAUGCCAUGGGUGCAGCCCUAAAAAGACAAAAGACAAAUAUGUGUGUGUGUGUGUGUGUGUAUACUCAAAUAACAAGUGCUGCAGAGGGUGUGGAGGAAAGGGAACCCUCCUAAUUGUUGGUGGGAAUGUAAAUUGGUGGAGUCACUAUAGAAAAUAGCAUGGAGGUUCCUCAAAAAACUGAAAAUAGAGAUACCAUAUGAUCUGGCAAUCCCACUCCUGGGUGUCUAUCUGGACAUAACUAUAAUUUGAAAAUAUACAUGUACCCAAUGUUCAUACAGCACUAUUCAUAGUAGCCAAGACAUGGAAACAACUUAAAUGUCCACCAACCAAUGAAUGGAGAAAGAAGAUGUGGCACGUAUAUACCAUGGAAUACGAUUCAGCCAUAAAAAGAAUGAAGUAACGCCAUCUGUAGCAGCAUGAGUGGACCUAGAGAUCAUCAUACUAAGUGAAGUUCAGAAACAGAAAGACAAAUGCCAGAUGAUACCACUUAGCUGUGGAUUCUAAAAUGUAAUACAAAGCAACUUAUCUAUGAAACAGAAACAGACUUAUAGACAUAGAGAACAAACUUGUGGUUGCCAAGGGAGUGGGGUAGGGAGAGAAAGACUGGGAAUUUGGGAUUGGCAAAUGCAAAGUAUUAUAUCUGUGAUGGAUAAACAAUAAGGUCCUACUGUAUAGCACAGGGAACUAUAUUCAAUCUCCUGUGAUAAACCAUAAUGGAAAAGAAUGUGAAAAAUAAUGUAUAUGUAGGGAUAACUGAAUCACUGUACUAUACAAAAGAAAUGAACACAACAUUGUAAAUCAACUAUAUUUCAAUAAAAUAA
rnacentral:lncRNA from 1 species